CUCCAGCUCUUAGAGUCCGUCCACCCCUUCUUCCACAGAGCUCCCUGAGCCUUGAGGGGAAGACUUUGAUGAAGACAUCCCGUAGGACUGAGUGCUCCAAAGUCUCUCAUUCUCUGCACAUUGUCCAGCUGUGAGCCUCUGUGUGAAUUCCCAUCUACUGCAAGACGAAACUUCUCUAGUAAGGGUUAAGCAAGGGACUAAUGUAUGGUUAUAGCAGAGUGUCAUUAGGAAUCAUUUUAUUGCUGUGUUUCUUUAGCAGAAUAAGAACACUAGGUUUUCCCCUAGGCCCACGACCUAUCUACUCUCAGGUUCCUGGCCUCUUUAGCCAAGAUUUGACCUCCAUCUCACAUGCUGCACACUGAGUAUCUGCCAGAUACGAGGCACUGAAGUGUCAGCCCUGUUCCUAGACAUGCAAGAGCAAGGCAUCAAACCAGACACGAAAGCGUUAGAGAAGCAGGUCAUUAAAGUGAUGAGCACCAGGCGGAAUUCAAACGCAGAACACGCGUGGGACACCCGGGAGAUCGUUUAGAUGAGGGUAUCAGAGAGUUCAGUUCUGAGGAUACAGCAUCUGUCUCCAUCUCCAAAGGAACAGUAAGUGUGCUGCAUCGUGGAGGCCAGGACAGAACAUUUCAAGCUGGGAGAAAUGCGGUGUGAAGAGUCAAGAAAGCCUGCUGUAUUGAGGAACUGAAAAAAAUCUACCAUGGCUGCAGCUUGGAGCGAGGGGAAGGCAGUUGAAGCCUGACACAGAAAGGAACAUCUGCUUAAACUGCCAGGAAAUUCAAAUGCAGCCCAAAGUAGGGCAGAGAACAGGAGACAUUGUGAAGAAGUUGUCCUCCGGCUUUCAUCGUUAACUACUGAAUUGAAGACUAAUAUACAUGUAUGCAGAACGGAUCCUUAAAACCAACUGGCUGCUUGCUUCUAAUCCAUGCUGUUACCUCUCAUUGGCUGGCCGUUGUUAUUGAGCCCUGUACUGUGUUCGGGCUUUGUAUGCAAGCAUGAACAGGGUAUCUACCAUCUCGUCAUUUCUGCAGUUUACAUGUCUGGGCAAACAAGGCAAAUACACAAGCAUGAUGGAUCAGCCCUGGGACACGUAGGCUUUCCACAGCAGGGGCCACUCCACAGAGCAGAAACGGUGAACAGGGCCACCGCAGGGUGGACAAAGCCACAAGAAGAUGAGACACAAGUCAAGGCUCUAGUAGCAAAGGAAACAUUAUCCUCACCCAUAAAACAUAAACCCAGGCUGGUCAGCUGGAGUAGGGGACUACUGUGGUAACACCACAUCAGCACUGGGCAAAGAAAAUUCCACCCUGGUUAUCAACUGCCAAAAGCAUUUGUUUUUCUUCUUCUCAUGAAAUGAAAGUAUUACUGACUUCAGGAAUCAUGCAGCUUAGAGUUUGGGGAAGUCUUGUUUUGUUUCGCUUUGUUUUAAGAAAACAAACUAUGCUUUAAGAAAAUAAUCUAUGCUUUAAGAAAACAAUUAUGUUUUAUAACUGCAAGGCAAAAUAUUUGAUGAGUGAACAUCCAAUUAUUUGGCUCUGGGUGUUUGCACAUGGGAGAAACUGUGGUUGUAAGCAUGUCUAGAACCAACACCCCUUGAAUGAGGAAGUGAGUCUUGCUGUUAGUAAACUGUCUUCAUCCCCAACCACAGAAGCAGAUGUUGACAACAAAUUUGAUUUACAAAGUAAAUAUAAAUUUUGCAGUCGGGCUCAA